CAGACAGUUAAGAGAGACAGUCCUAACAGGUAGAUACGUUCAGACAGUUAAGAGACAGUCCUAACAGGUAGAUAGGUUCAGUAGAGAUACAAACAGACAGUUAAGAGAGACAGUCCUAACAGGUAGCUAUGUUCAGACAGUUAAGAGACAGUCCUAUCAGGUAGCUACGUUCAGACAGUUAAGAGACAGUCCUUACAGGUAAGAGACAGUCCUAACAGGUAGAUAUGUUCAGACAGUUAAGAGACAGUCCUAACAGGUUGAUACGUUCAGUAGAGAUACAAACAGACAGUUAAGAGACAGUCCUAACAGGUAGAUACGUUCAGUAGAGAUACAAACAGACAGUUAAGAGACAGUCCUAACAGGUAGAUACGUUCAGUAGAGAUACAAACAGACCGUUAAGAGACAGUCCUAACAGGUAGAUACGUUCAGACAGUUAAGAGACAGUCCUAACAGUUAGAUACGUUCAGUAGAGAUACAAACAGACAGUUAAGAGACAGUCCUAACAGGUAGAUACGUUCAGUAGAGAUACAAACAGACAGUUAAGAGACAGUCCUAACAGGUAGAUACGUUCAGUAGAGAUACAAACAGACAGUUAAGAGACAGUCCUAACAGGUAGAUACGUUCAGUAGAGAUACAAACAGACAGUUAAGAGACAGUCCUAACAGGUAGAUACGUUCAGUAGAGAUACAAACAGACAGUUAAGAGACAGUCCUAACAGGUAGAUACGUUCAGUAGAGAUACAAGCAGACAGUUAAGAGACAGUCCUAACAGGUAGAUACGUUCAGUAGAGAUACAAACAGACAGUUAAGAGACAGUCCUAACAGGUAGAUACGUUCAGUAGAGAUACAAACAGACAGUUAAGAGACAGUCCUAACAGGUAGAUACGUUCAGUAGAGAUACAAACAGACAGUUAAGAGACAGUCCUAACAGGUAGAUACGUUCAGUAGAGAUACAAACAGACAGUUAAGAGACAGUCCUAACAGGUAGAUACGUUCAGUAGAGAUACAAACAGACAGUUAAGAGACAGUCCUAACAGGUAGAUACGUUCAGUAGAGAUACAAACAGACAGUUAAGAGACAGUCCUAACAGGUAGCUACGUUCAGACAGUUAAGAGACAGUCCUAACAGGUAGCUAUGUUCAGACAGUUAAGAGACAGUCCUAACAGGUAGCUAUGUUCAGACAGUUAAGAGACAGUCCUAACAGGUAGCUACGUUCAGACAGUUAAGAGACAGUCCUAACAGGUAAGAGACAGUCCUAACAGGUAGCUAUGUUCAGACAGUUAAGAGACAGUCCUAACAGGUAGCUACGUUCAGACAGUUAAGAGACAGUCCUAACAGGUAGCUAUGUUCAGACAGUUAAGAGACAGUCCUAACAGGUAGCUAUGUUCAGACAGUUAAGAGACAGUCCUAACAGGUAGCUACGUUCAGACAGUUAAGAGACAGUCCUAACAGGUAAGAGACAGUCCUAACAGGUAGCUAUGUUCAGACAGUUAAGAGACAGUCCUAACAGGUAGCUACGUUCAGACAGUUAAGAGACAGUCCUAACAGGUAGCUACGUUUAGACAGUUAAGAGACAGUCCUAACAGGUAGAUAUGUUCAGACAGUUAAGAGACAGUCCUAACAGGUAGCUACGUUGAGACAGUACUAACAGGUAGAUACGUUCAGACAGUUAAGAGACAGUCUUAACAGGUAGCUACGUUCAGACAGUUAAGAGACAGUCCUAACAGGCAGAUACGUUCAGACAGUUAAGAGACAUUCCUAACAGGUAGCUACGUUGAGACAGUACUAACAGGUAGAUACGUUCAGACAGUUAAGAGACAGUCCUAACAGGUAGCUAUGUUCAGACAGUUAAGAGACAGUCCUAACAGGUAGCUAUGUUUAUACAGUUAAGAGACAGUCCUAACAGGUAAGAGACAGUCCUAACAGGUAGCUAUGUUCAGACAGUUAAGAGACAGUCCUAACAGGUAAGAGACAGUCCUAACAGGUAAGAGACAGUCCUAACAGGUAGCUACGUUCAGACAGUUAAGAGACAGUCCUAACAGGUAGCUACGUUCAGACAGUUAAGAGACAGUCCUAACAGGUAGCUAUGUUCAGACAGUUAAGAGACAGUCCUCUCCUCGGGGACCCCCAGACAAUUCACAACUGACAGAGACGUACACAUACACAACUGCCAAAAUACGCCAAUGCACUCAUCUACUCACUCCCACUCUCACACCAUCCCUCACCCUGUCCUCUCCUCUCUCAUC